AAUAGAGUGAAGGGUUGCUAACUGAAGACAUUUUUUACUCAUAACUUUAUCUGACUCAAGGUCUACAUGUAGUAAAUGUGCAGUAGAGAUUGUACCUAAGAUAUCAUUGAUCAGAUAAUUAAUCAAUAAAGAACAUUUGAAUUUCCUGCAAAAUCAGACUUAUUGAGAAAUAUGAGGCAAAAGGAGAGUUUUGACAACAUAACUCUCGCAGACUAUUAUCAGCAUAAUAAAAUAAAAUAUAUAAUUUAAACUACCACUAAGGUCACGUCAUGUUCCAUCAGUCCUGGUCUGCAUCCAGUGUAGUUUAUGGGANNNNNNNNNNNNNNNNNNNNNNNNNNNNNNNNNNNNNNNNNNNNNNNNNNNNNNNNNNNNNNNNNNNNNNNNNNNNNNNNNNNNNNNNNNNNNNNNNNNNCAACGUAUAAAAUUGAGCUCAACCAUUUAGAGCGAGAUCUUCUACUUCAAAAACUGUUACUGCAUUGUAGUUGAACUAAUUAAGGAAGUAACAGUCCAAUAGAUAGAGAGGUAGAGAGGGCCACAACUGGGAACUGGAAUGGAACUGAUGAGCAUACAAAGUCCCACCAUUUUUAGACGUUUCUUCUGCAAUUUCUAUGUAUACUUUUAUUAAUUAUAUGCAAGUAUACUUGCAUUUUAUUUGGUAUGGUUAUUUGAUUUUAUAAAGUGUUACAUUUUCUAGUUAUUUUUCCUGUUAUUAAACUUACUCAAAUAAUAUGUGUAGAAUGUAUAUACAUUCUACACAUAUAUUUUUAUAAUAAUCAAGAAUUAUAAUUUAGACUUUAAUAAUAAUUGUAUUUAUAAUCACAAUUUAUUACAAGAAUUUUUGAAAGAUUACAUAUAAAGUCAAUAUUAAUCUCAUAUGUUGGAACUGGGAAAGUAAAUAAUAUAAAGUAUAAGAUGACUAAAUAAUAUACAAAAAUUAUUAUUAUCAUAACAAAAAUAUAAAUAUAAAAUAUAUGAAAAAUCCCUAUAAAAUUAAAAAUAUAAAAAUAUUUCAAAUUAAUCCGUGCUUUGCAGGGCCAGUGUGCUAGUAUAACACAAAUUGAUUUCUAAACCCUAAAAUUUAGGAAUGAUCCUUCAAAUCUAAAAUUUAGGAAUGGAACCUAAAAUUUAGAAAAAGAAACUAUUUUUUCAUCUUUAAUUUGAUUUCAGAAUAUUUUCAUGUACAUUUUUACUAUCAUGAUUAUCUACUUAACGCUAUCUCUUAUUCUUAUACAUUUUUUCCUUUAGUUAGUGUUAUUUAGAAUUCAUAUUCUUGAUAAUUAUAAUAUUUAAUUUAUAUAAUAAUUGGUUUUAUUAACUUAUAUAAGUAUAACUAUAUGAGUUUAAAAAAGAUUUUACUAUUACAUAAAUAGAUGAAUAUAUGAAUAAAUCAACAAAUAAAUCAUUAAUUUAAGAUGAAUACUAUCAUUUAUACCUUAUAAAUAGAUGAACUAUUAUUAUAAAUUUUAAAUUUAUUCAAUUUUGUAUUAAUAAUUAGUUAUACAUUAUUGGUUAAAUAAUAUAUUUUGGAAGGAAUUUUUUUUCUUACAAAAAUAUCAUAUGUUAUUAUUAUUAUUCUAAUUAAUAUAUUAUUAUAGCAUAAUAUAAAAGUUUAUAAAAAAUAUAAUAAUUUUGGAACAAAGCUCGUGCUUCGCAGGGGAUGAUGAGCUAGACAAAUCACACUUCUACCCAACUCAACAACCCGUGCUUCACACGGGAUCAUUAGCUAGUUAUAAUUAAGAACCAAACCAUUUUUAGUUAUAUCAUAUCACAAUUUUAUUAUAUUUAAAUUUAUAAGAAUAAAAUUAAUAUAUUAUUAAUAAUAUAUACUUUGGAAUAUCCNNNNNNNNNNNNNNNNNNNNNNNNNNNNNNNNNNNNNNNNNNNNNNNNNNNNNNNNNNNNNNNNNNNNNNNNNNNNNNNNNNNNNNNNNNNNNNNNNNNNAUUAAUAAUGCAUCAUUUAAUAAUGUAAUCAAGUCAAGUCAUUACAUUACUACUAUAUGAAUACUUGAUGAUAUGGAAAUGAGCAUAAUAUUGGAAGGCAUUACCAUCAUAUUGUUUUGCUCCACUUUAUUCUCUUAUACCUUGAUAACUUUCACUGCAGUAGAUACCAUCAGACCAAAUCAAACCAAAGAGAUGGCGGCGACGCCACUAUUCAGCCGGUGGAGAAUUCAAACUCAGAUUUUCCAGCCCUGGUAGCUCCACAAAUGGAUACCUGUGUAUAUGGUACAACCGUACAAGAAUAUAUCAAAUGGGACAGACGUAUAGUUCCACCUGCGUGGCAAAGGUCAAUGACCCAAUGUCAAGGGAAUUAUAUUGUUUACUACACAUUAUGGAGAAAUGCUUAUAACUUCCUUUUUCAAUUAAGAAAAUGAUGAUUUCAGCAAAUUCAACAAUAACUUUACUUUAAGAAACCAGGCCAUUUGAUUAACAAGAGUGCACACAAUUCAAAAGAAAUUUAUUGAUUAUUCAUAAUGUGCCCCCACUUUUUGAACAGACUGUUUAGUUCAAUAAUAUAUAUAUAUAUAUAUAUAUAUAUAUAUAUAUAUAUAUAUAUAUAUAUAUAUAUAUNNNNNNNNNNNNNNNNNNNNNNNNNNNNNNNNNNNNNNNNNNNNNNNNNNNNNNNNNNNNNNNNNNNNNNNNNNNNNNNNNNNNNNNNNNNNNNNNNNNNNNNNNNNNNNNNNNNNNNNNNNNNNNNNNNNNNNNNNGACAGUGACCCAGUCAAUUUUCUUUGGCAGAGUUUUGAUUAUCCUGGAGAUACUUUGCUACCAGGAAUGAAGUAUGGAUUGGACUUGGUUACUGGCCUAAACAGGUACUUCACAUCAUGGAAAAGUGCUGAUGAUCCAUCUCCAGGUAGUUUUACGAACCGGGUUGAUCCCAGUGGCAUUCCACAGUUAUUUUGGUGGAAAGGGUCAACGCUACGGUCUAGGUCUGGACCAUGGGUUGGUUGUCAAGUUAGUGGAAAUCCUAAUAGUAUACCAAAUGGAAUCUAUAAAGAGGAGUUUGUUUUCAAUGAGAAGGAAAUAUAUUAUAAAUUUGAUCUUCUCAAUAAAAGUUCUUCUCCUACUACAAGGUUUAUAGUGAAUCCGAAUGGUGAUGCACAAACUCUGAUAUGGAAUGAUCGAAAUCAAUAUUGGAUGGUUUAUGUUACUAUACAUGUUAGUGAUUGUGACCGUUAUGGAUUGUGUGGUGCAUAUGGUAGUUGUAACAUUAACAAUUCCCCUAGAUGUGAAUGCUUCAGAGGAUUUGUUCCAAAGUUCCCAGAAAAUUGGGAAGCAGCAGAUUGGUCUGACGGGUGUGUCCGCAAAACCCUACUGGACUGUGGAAAUGGAGAUGGUUUUACUAAGUAUUCGGUUGUGAAAUUGCCAGACACACGAUAUUCAUGGUAUAACAUGAGCAUGAACCUUGAGGAAUGUGAGAGGGUGUGCUUGAAGAACUGCUCUUGUACAGCUUAUGCAAAUGCAGAUAUCAGAGGAGGUGGAAGUGGGUGUUACCUAUGGUUUAAUGAGCUGAUAGAUACCAGUGGCUACACAGCAGAUGGGCAAGAUCUUUAUGUAAGAAUGUCUGCCUCUGAAUUAGGUAAGACUACUUUGUCCACACAUUAAAGGUUUUACUCAACAUAUCUGCCUCAGUUUUUUUUUGCUUUUCUAGGAUUCUGUAUUUAUAUUUUGAAAUUAUUAGGCUACGCGGAGGAAAGCAAGAGAUUCAGACUAAAGAGGCGAAUGCAGAUCAUAGUCAUUCCUGUAGUACCAACAGUACUACUUGCCUUUUUCUUGUUUGUAUUCAAGAAGAGAAUUCUGAAGAGAGGAGGUAAAUAUGACUGAAUUUUACAUUGAAACAAAAACUGUAUUUAUUAACCAAAGACAACUAUUACGACCACAAAUAGAAGAAAAGUCCAAAUAGAAUUGUAAAGAAAACUAAUACCGACUCUUUGAAGAAUUGGUUCAGAAUUUUGGAAGUAUAUAAUAUUUCUAUUCCUUGUCUAGGCAUUUGAAACACUUGUUCACUUGUGCUUUGAUUUCACUUCUCAUUUCACAGGAUGGUUGAAAUUUAGUUCAGAAAGAAUUUUUCCGUACAAAAAUGAGGGCGAAGAUUUUCAGUUACCAUUAUUUGACUUCAAAAAAAUUGCAAGUGCUACAAAUAACUUCUCCCACAACAAUAAGCUUGGAGAGGGCGGCUUUGGACCUGUUUACAAGGUGAUUAUAUUGAUACAUAUCAUUUGCAUAAUUAUGCAAAAAUAGUUCGCUAAACACCGUAUAUGCACUAUAAGGCACCAAAAGAGUAUUCGUUUGUAUUUUACUCAAAAAACAUUUUUCAACUUAAAGCACAACACUACAUUAUAGUUAACGUUUACUUACCGACUCAAAACUAGUAGAAAUGUCUCUACCCCGACAUAACUAUUAUUAAUAAAACGAAAAAUAUAUGUUUAAACGAUUAAAAUUAUACUUUCAUGUGUGAAGUGCAUGUAACAAAUGAAAUAUUGAUACACAUCAUGUUUGGCUCCAAUGGAGUUGUUACUGUAAUAUGGAAGUUAUCAGGUGUAUGAAAUGUGCAUCUUCUAUAAUGUAGCCGACUUAGUCAAAUGAUUUGAGUCAAAUUUAAACAUAGGAUAGCAUUAUAAUGGUGAUGAAACAGAGAAAGGAAUAAUGCUCACUUCUGGAAGCAUCAAAUGGAAUUACCACAAUGAUUUAUUUUCAGGGCAUGUUGGAUGAUGGACAAGAAAUAGCAGUGAAAAGACUAUCAGAUAAUUCGAGUCAAGGAGUAGAUGAAUUCAAGAACGAAGUUUCAUUUAUUGCCAAACUACAACACCGAAAUCUUGUGGUGCUUCUCGGGUGCUGCACUGAUAAAGGGGAAAGAAUAUUGAUCUAUGAAUACAUGCCCAAUAAAAGUUUAGAUUAUUUUAUUUUCGGUAUGGCCCUCCUCCAAAUACUGAUAUGUUUUCUUAACUUUCUUAUAAUCUAAAAUAUUAAAUUAGUGUAAUCGUCUUAUUUCCCUUAGAAACUAUAACUUACAUCACCCAAAUAUAGAGAAGUAUGUAUUUAUGGAUUAAUUUGAUGACAAAUGAAUAGAUGAAAAAUUAAGCAAGUCACUGGACUGGUCAAGGCGCUACAACAUUAUAAAUGGCAUUGCUAAGGGACUUCUCUAUCUUCACCAUGACUCUAAAUUAAGAAUCAUUCAUAGAGAUCUCAAAGCUAGUAAUAUUUUACUUGAUCACGAGAUGAAUCCAAAAAUUUCAGACUUUGGCUUGGCAAGAAGUUUUGAAGGAAGUCAAACUGAAGCAAAUACAUCAAGAGUUGUGGGGACAUAGUAAGAAUUUCUACAACACUGCAAAUAUUUUUGUCUCUUUUGCUUAGAAACUGACAUCAUUUUGUUUUACCUCCCGCAGUGGUUACAUGCCUCCUGAGUAUGCUAUUGAUGGACUAUUCUCAGUUAAAUCUGAUGUUUAUAGUUUUGGUGUUUUACUGAUCGAGAUAGUGAGUGGGAAGAAAAAUAGAUUAUUCAAUCAUCCUGAUCACAGCUUUAACCUUCUUGGACAUGUAAGUGCAUAUGAAUAUAUUCUAACGCUCUUAUCCUACACACUUAACUACUUUGGAUAAAUUAUAAAAUCAAUCUUUUUAGGCAUGGAAAAGUUAUAAAGAAGAUGAGCUUUUAGGACUAAUCGAUGGGGUGCUCUUGGAGUCAAGUAACCAUAAUGAAGUGUUUCGAGUUAUCCAAAUUGGAUUAUUAUGCGUUCAACAAUAUCCAGAAGACAGACCGAGUAUGUCAUACGUGGUUCUUAUGUUGAGUAGUAAUAUUGCAUUGCCUCAUCCUAAACAACCAGGUUUUUUCACAGAGAGAAAACUGCAUGAAGCAUAUUAUUCAUUGAGCAAACCAAUAUUGUCUUCAUCCAACCAAUUAACUAUUACGGUUCUUUCACCUCGAUUGUAAUGCUUAGUGCCUUUGGUACCUCAAUUUUAUUAUAAAUAGUUGUACAUGAUGUAAUCAAUCAAGAGUUAUAUUUUUCUAUAAGAUGGAAGCAAUCAUACUGCCAAGCAAGAGCUUUGAAGCUGAAUUUUUUUAUUAUUUUGUUAGCAUCAAAAACAAAAAAGAUAUACAUACUACAUGUGCAUACUUGCAAGCCAGGAAUACACUGAAACGUAGAUAAUGGUCUAAACUGCCAAACUGUAUAAAAAUUGAUUCUGAAGGAUCAAAAGACUUUCAUAAGUCACUGCUAUAGUAGUAUGAUAACAAUCUGCCUAUAUUCAUAGUCAUUGAUAAUUAUAUUUUUUGAGCUCGAUAGAAUUUUUGACCAUGAUUUUUUGCACAUUCGAGAAGUUGACCCCAAUUAAAAAAAACGUUUUACAAAUUGAACAUUUAAGUACAUGGAUUUCUAGAACAAUAUCUUUACUUUUGACGAGAAAUAGCCAUGUGCAUUAGGCAGGCAAUCAAAAGGGUAUUUGGGUAAUUUUGGCAUUUUCAUUCUUCAUAUCUUUGUUCUCAUUUUUUAUAACCAUUGCCACCACCGCCACCAGAGAAGGAAACAAUGGCAAUAACGGCCAUUAGGCAGUCUUGUUUUGCAAUUCUAUGGUGCAUCUGCAGUUUUAACCCCUUCCAGUUAUACAAACUUGUUUACAUUCAUGAUGAAUAGAGAAAUUAGAUUUACACAGCUUUGGUUAUUCAGUCAUCUACAGGGCAUUCAACAUUAAGUUUCUCUCUCUCAAUCAUCCAUGAGUUUGUUAGAUAUUAGAGGUAGAGAGUUUCGUUGAAAGAUUAAUUUGGUCUGCCAAAGUUAAUGGGUGGAUUUUAGCAGAUUAACUAAUGAAUCGGACCUAUUACCGACCAAGUAUGCUCAUUGAACUCUUGUUGUACUAUACUACUCAUAUAAUAAGCAAUCCAUUGAAGAAACAGAAUCAAACAUCAUAUAUCAUUGAAUAAACAUUAAUUAGUGAAUUCCAAGUAGUGGUAUUUCUCUCAAGCAUUUCAUCAAACAUACAUUAUGCAUAAUCCAUUCCACUAAAAUUUGCAUAAGUUGAUGAAUUUAUUACCUGGGAAGGCGUCAAUUUGAAUACCCAAUUUGGCUAAGAACCUAUGGACUAACACAUCAUUAGAUCUUCAGAAAUCUUUUCCGUGUAUGAGGUAUAAUUUCCUAGCACGCCAUUUUCAAAUAUGGACUCUGUCCAAGUCCAGCAUUUGGAAAUUGAACAACCUUGUAAACCUGAAAAACAAGCGACUGCCACCGUGCACUCUGUUAGGAAUCCUGUUAUGAGAGGAAUCAUAUUUUUUUGUAAGAAUAUUAAUUUUGGAAGUGGUCAUACU
rnacentral:lncRNA from 1 species